AUUGAACGCUGGCGGCAGGCUUAACACAUGCAAGUCGAGCGGAGAUGAGGUGCUUGCACCUUAUCUUAGCGGCGGACGGGUGAGUAAUGCUUAGGAAUCUGCCUAUUAGUGGGGGACAACAUUCCGAAAGGAAUGCUAAUACCGCAUACGUCCUACGAGAGAAAGCAGGGGAUCUUCGGACCUUGCGCUAAUAAAUGAGCGUAAGUCGGAUUAGCUAGUUGGUGGGGUAAAGGCCUACCAAGGCGACGAUCUGUAGCGGGUCUGAGAGGAUGAUCCGCCACACUGGGACUGAGACACGGCCCAGACUCCUACGGGAGGCAGCAGUGGGGAAUAUUGGACAAUGGGGGGAACCCUGAUCCAGCCAUGCCGCGUGUGUGAAGAAGGCCUUAUGGUUGUAAAGCACUUUAAGCGAGGAGGAGGCUACUGAGACUAAUACUCUUGGAUAGUGGACGUUACUCGCAGAAUAAGCACCGGCUAACUACGUGCCAGCAGCCGCGGUAACAC
rnacentral:rRNA from 1 species